rnacentral:lncRNA from 1 species
CCCCAUUUGCCAUCGCCAACACUGCAACACAGUGACACCGAUCCUCCAUCUUCCCUCAUCGGCCAUCACUGAUGCCGUCUUCCUAUCUUCGGCCAUCACCGUUCAUCAUUUUGGGUAAGAAUCCUCCGAAUCCUCUUCCUUCAGAUCUCAAGUCUUAGUAUUCCUCAAUCCCUAUUUUCUUUUUCUCUCAAGACAGGGUUUUGAAGUUGUAUUGCCAAAGAGCGGAGGC